GAAAUGCGAUAAGUAAUGUGAAUAGCAGAAUUCCGUGAAUCAUCGAAUCUUUGAACGCACAUUGCUCCCUCUGGCAUUCCGGGGGGCAUGCCUGUCCGAGCGUCAUUACGCACCCUCAAGCCCGGCUUGUGUGAUGGGCCCCGGCGUCUCGUUCGCGAGACGGGCCCGAAAGGCAGCGGCGGCGUCGACCCGAUGAGCCCGAGCGUAUGGGGACUUCUGUCACACGUUCGCGGUGCGGACCGGCGCCUGCUUGACUUUUCUGAUUAUCCAGGUUGACCUCGGAUCAGGUAGGGAUACCCGCUGAACUUAAGC
rnacentral:misc_RNA from 1 species